GUGUCAGCAGCCGCGGUAAGACAGAGGGGGCAAGCGUUGCUCGGAAUCACUGGGCGUAAAGGGCGCGUAGGCGGGAGGCCAAGUCGGUCGUGAAAUCCUCGGGCUCAACCCGAGGGGGUCGGCCGAAACUGGUUUUCUUGAGGGGCGCAGAGGAGCCUGGAAUUCCCGGUGUAGCGGUGAAAUGUGUAGAGAUCGGGAGGAACACCGGUGGCGAAGGCGGGGCUCUGGGCGCACCCUGACGCUGAGGCGCGAAGGCGUGGGGAGCAAACGGGAUUAGAUACCCGCGUAGUCC
rnacentral:rRNA from 1 species